UACGUAGGUGACAAGCGUUGUCCGGAUUUACUGGGCGUAAAGAGCGCGCAGGCGGUCGUUCAAGUCGAGUGUGAAAGCCCCCGGCUCAACUGGGGAGGGUCAUUCGAUACUGAUCGACUCGAAGGCAGGAGAGGGUAGUGGAAUUCCCGGUGUAGUGGUGAAAUGCGUAGAUAUCGGGAGGAACACCAGUGGCGAAGGCGACUACCUGGCCUGUUCUUGACGCUGAGGCGCGAAAGCUAAGGGGAGCAAACGGGG
rnacentral:rRNA from 1 species